rnacentral:rRNA from 1 species
AUUGAACGCUGGCGGCAUGCCUUACACAUGCAAGUCGAACGGCAGCACGGGAGCAAUCCUGGUGGCGAGUGGCGAACGGGUGAGUAAUAUAUCGGAACGUGCCCGGUCGUGGGGAUAACGUAGCGAAAGCUACGUUAAUACCGCAUACGAUCUACGGAUGAAAGCGGGGGAUACGCGAAGACCUCGACGCGAUUGGAGCCCCCCCGGNGAUAUCAGAUUAGGUAGUUGGUGAGGUAAAGGCUCAACCAAGCCAACGAUCUGUAGCUGGUCUGAGAGGACGACCAGCC